GUGUGUGAAGAAGGCCUUCGGGUUGUAAAGCACUUUCAGCAGUGAGGAAGGCGUGGUGNUUAAUACCCAUCACGUUUGACGUUAGCUGCAGAAGAAGCACCGGCUAACUCCGUGCCAGCAGCCGCGGUAAUACGGAGGGUGCCGAGCGUUAAUCGGAAUUACUGGGCGUAAAGCGCAUGCAGGCGGUUUGUUAAGCAAGAUGUGAAAGCCCCGGGCUCAACCUGGGAACCGCAUUUUGAACUGGCAGGCUAGAGUCUUGUAGAGGGGGGUAGAAUUUCAGGUGUAGCGGUGAAAUGCGUAGAGAUCUGAAGGAAUACCGGUGGCGAAGGCGGCCCCCUGGACAAAGACUGACGCUCAGAUGCGAAAGCGUGGGGAGCAAACAGGAUUAGAUACCCUGGUAGUCCACGCUGUAAACGAUGUCUACUUGGAGGUUGCGGUCUUGAACUGUGGCUUUCGGAGCUAACGCGUUAAGUAGACCGCCUGGGGAGUACGGUCGCAAGAUUAAAACUCAAAUGAAUUGACGGGGGCCCGCACAAGCGGUGGAGCAUGUGGUUUAAUUCGAUGCAACGCGAAGAACCUUACCUACUCUUGACAUCCACAGAAGCCGGANGANAUUCUGGUGUGCUUCGGGA
rnacentral:rRNA from 1 species